AAAAACCAGGGUGAUCUGGCUGCGAUUUCUGUCACUCCACUGAUCACUGAUCAAACCAGGGUUGAUCUGACUGAUCUGCUGGCAGCUAGUCAGGGUCCCCUUCCUCCCUCACAGCUCUGUGCGCAUUCCUCCCAAGUUCACUGGGCCAAAGAGGAUGACUUUUCUGGCUAAAGCACCAUCUUCAGUCAAGACAUAUGAGUAGCUGGACUCCCCUGCUAAAACCACCAAACAAAUCCUCAAAAAAAAAAAUUAAAGGGUCGGGGAUCAGGUGUGGUAGCACAUACCUGUAAUCCCAGUACUUGGGAUGCUGAGGCAG
ensembl:misc_RNA 7SK 7SK RNA